rnacentral:rRNA from 1 species
AACGAACGCUGGCGGCAUGCCUAACACAUGCAAGUCGAACGAGACCUUCGGGUCUAGUGGCGCACGGGUUCGUAACGCGUGGGAACCUGCCCUUAGGUUCGGAAUAACUCCCCGAAAGGGGUGCUAAUACCGGAUAAUGUCUUCGGACCAAAGAUUUAUCGCCUUUGGAUGGGCCCGCGUUGGAUUAGCUAGUUGGUAGGGUAAAAGCCUACCAAGGCGACGAUCCAUAGCUGGUCUGAGAGGAUGAUCAGCCACACUGGGACUGAGACACGGCCCAGACUCCUACGGGAGGCAGCAGUGGGGAAUAUUGGAAAAUGGGCGAAAGCAUGAUCCAGCAAUGCCGCGUGAGUGAUGAAGGCCUUAGGGUUGUAAAGCUCUUUUAACCGGGAUGAUAAUGACAGUACCGGGAGAAUAAGCACCGGCUAACUACGUG